CAGUAGCCACGGUAAUACGUAGGUGGCAAGCGUUGUCCGGAAUUAUUGGGCGUAAAGGGCUCGCAGGCGGUUUCUUAAGUCUGAUGUGAAAGCCCCCGGCUCAACCGGGGAGGGUCAUUGGAAACUGGGAAACUUGAGUGCAGAAGAGGAGAGUGGAAUUCCACGUGUAGCGGUGAAAUGCGUAGAGAUGUGGAGGAACACCAGUGGCGAAGGCGACUCUCUGGUCUGUAACUGACGCUGAGGAGCGAAAGCGUGGGAAGCGAACAGGAUUAGAUACCCGCGUAGUCCCUGUCUCUUAUAC
rnacentral:rRNA from 1 species